GCCACGCACCGCCUAUCUCUUUUCAUCUCCCGAAGCUGGGCACCGACGAGCUCCGACGGUCCGGAUCAAGAUCUCUCCCCAGUCAGCUCAUCGCGGCGGCGCAGGUACGAGAUGCCGUUUCUCUUCCGCGCUUCCGCGCUAGGGCUCUGUACAGCCUCGCCGUCGAUGGUAACAACCGAGUGGCAAAGACGUGCUUGCCGCGCGCACGUAACACGGCCAGCCGAUCUGCUGCGAAUUGGCGAACGAUUUGGCAUCUCCAAUCGAUCUCACUCUCAUGCGUCACGCAUAAACUGAGCCUAAGUGGUGUUCUCGUCAAGAAAUUAAUUCGGGCAAUGGUGUUGAGAAAAGGAGGAAAGCCGUUGAUAUGACAAAAGAAGCAGGAAAGCAAUGCUAUUGUCUUCAUGCCUGGUGGGGUUGUUGGAGUGAAAACUAAGAUCGAGGGGACAGAUGGUUCAUAUGUAAGCAUCACCGGUCUGGAUUGAUUCCUCUAUCUGAAUUUGUUGACACCAGUUGUCACCCGAGACUGAACUCAGCUGCAUAUUUAGGUGAUGAUUAAACUAUGUUGAAGGUUUACUGCGACUCGCAAGAUGUAGCAUGUCAGCGGCGAGGAGGACCAAGCGAGAAGUGGACCGUCAGUCUUCAAGUUGAAUGUAGUCCUUGGCAUCGAGAAGAUGACACUCAAGCCUUGUUUGCACAAUAGAAAGGGGAGGUUCAGGACGUGCAGCAUGGCGGCAGAGCAAGCCGUGCAUGGGGAAUCAGGAGAAGAACAAAACAAGUCAUGGGAACGCUCCUUCACCUCCAGAUCUUUGUCCUUGUACAGAACUUCUAGCUGUGAUAGAUAAAAGGGUGAUUCUUCUCUGGUGUUUGGUUACAAAGAUGGAAGCUAUCUACCAAGUCCAAGAAGUAUGGUUGGGUGUAUCGAUGCAGUUCUCAUAAUAGUAGAAGAUUUGGAGGUCUAUGAUAUGUACAUUGAUCUGAAAGCAGGUAGCAAAGCUGAACAACUGGGCACAAAGGUUGUGGAGCA